UUUCCGUAGGUGAACCUGCGGAAGGAUCAUUAUUUAAUGUCGAGGGUGUCUCCUUCACAGGAGUGCACUCUUUCACAUCCAUAACACCUGUGCACUGUUGGUCGUCGUGUAAGCCAUGACAGCACUGUCUGGCUGAAACAUCGACCUGCCUUUCAUACACACAAACAUAUGUACCAAAUGUAGUCUUAUUAUAACAUAAUAAAACUUUCAACAACGGAUCUCUUGGCUCUCGCAUCGAUGAAGAACGCAGC
rnacentral:misc_RNA from 1 species